rnacentral:rRNA from 1 species
GAUGAACGCUGGCGGCGUGCCUAACACAUGCAAGUCGAACGAAGCGCCCGUGCGGACCCCCUCGGGGUGAAGCGCGGGUGACUGAGUGGCGGACGGGUGAGUAACGCGUGGGCAACCUGCCCCGUACCGGGGGACAACAGCCGGAAACGGCUGCUAAUACCGCAUAUGCGCACAGUGCCGCAUGGCACCGUGCGGAAAACUCCGGUGGUACGGGAUGGGCCCGCGUCCGAUUAGCAGGUUGGUGGGGUAACGGCCUACCAAGGCGACGAUCGGUAGCCGGCCUGAGAGGGCGGCCGGCCACAUUGGGACUGAGACACGGCCCAG